rnacentral:rRNA from 1 species
UGGGGAAUAUUGGGCAAUGGAGGAAACUCUGACCCAGCCAUGCCGCGUGAAUGAUGAAGGCUUUAGGGUUGUAAAGUUCUUUCGCCGAUGAAGAUAAUGACGGUAGUCGGAGAAGAAGCCCCGGCUAACUUCGUGCCAGCAGCCGCGGUAAUACGAAGGGGGCUAGCGUUGUUCGGAAUUACUGGGCGUAAAGCGAGCGUAGGUUGCUCGACAAGUCAGUGGUGAAAGCCCAGAGCUCAACUCUGGAACUGCCAUUGAAACUGUCGAGCUGGAAUCUCAGAGGGGGUAGCGGAAUUCCAAAUGUAGGGGUGAAAUCCGUAGAUAUUUGGAGGAACACCGGUGGCGAAGGCGGCUACCUGGAUGAGUAUUGACACUGAGGCUCGAAAGCGUGGGGAUCAAACA